rnacentral:rRNA from 1 species
CAAGGUUUCUGUAGGUGAACCUAUGGAAGGAUCAUUG